GGCCUGGAAAAACAAACCCAACAUAAACCACCACAGCUUUACAAUACAGCAUAAAGAAAUCAGCCCAGUCCAGGGUUUCCGCCAGUGUAUUGCAAGCCCGGCGGCCCGCCGGCCCUAAUUUGAUCCCCCGCCGUGCCUAAGCAUCGGGGAAUUUUUUUUUUAAAAGAAAGGAAAAAAAAUGUAAUGUAUUUUUAAGAUGUUUUUUAAACUACAGUUACAGUGGGGCGGCUCGGUUGAAAAGCUCACCAGCGACAUCUAUUGGUUAAAACGGUGACAUUCAACACUUGACGCUUCCAACUAUCACAAGCUAACGUUACCUAGCAAGCCACCAUUUCUUAUUUAGUAGGCUAACUAACCUCGUUACAAACUGCGUUAUCACUUCAUCUCGUCGGUAAGUACAUUCUUUUUAUAUUAACUUAAGCAGUGUGUAGGUAACGUUAAAAUAGUAGCAUGAAUGUAACGUUCGAUAUAUUGUAACAUUACAUGACUUAUUAAUCGCCAUCGAAAUAACACCUUCACUUGUUUAUUAAUAACGUUAGCUUGAUGACAAUGAUGUGCACGACAACGUUGUCAUAAAAUUUUUCCCGACCGUGAAAACUGCCUGACUUGUUUACAUUUUGGACAGAUGUGGCUUCAUGGUAAAUCCAUCGUUGUUUCCAUCGCAGCACUUUCGACACAAGUAAUAUCGGAAAAAUCCUAAAAUUUCUUCUUAUGGUGAAGAGUGCCUGACCGGCAACCGUAUUUAUGUGUUAACACAGCGGCAAAAUUAGGCUAUAUCUAGAAAUACCAUCUUUGGGGAAAAAACGCUACGGUUAAGGGUCAAGCACUCUUCACAAUAAGAAGAAAUUUCAGGAUUUUUUCUAUAUUGCUUGUGUCUAAAGUGCUGCGACGGAAACAACAAUAGAUUUACUGAGGAGCCACAUCUGUCCAGAAUGUAAACAAGUCAGGCAGUUUUCACGGUUGGGAAAAACUUUUGACAACGUGGUCAUGUAGCUAACUUAGCUAGCUAGCCAAACAGUCAGUAACACAGACACUUACUUUGUGCCAUCUAGGGAUAAUGUCAAGAAGGAAAGGUAGCCUACUGUAAAAGCCAAAAAACCUUAGACAGUUUUUCAAAAGUUUUUCAAGCGUUCCAAGGCUUGUUGUAAGACUCAGUAGCCAAUCAGGACUUGAAUACACGUUUUUUGUAGAGUGCAAAAACCUUGAUAUUAUUUAUUUUAAUUUAAUUUAAUUUCUUCUGUUGUUGUUGAAAUGUGUCCAGCAUUCCAAGGAUGUAAGAAUCAGUAGCCUAUCAGGACUUUUUUCAAGUUUUUUGUAGAGUGCAAAAACUUUGAUUUUAUUUAUUUAAAUUUAAUUUAUUUUGUUGUUGAAACCACAGCAUUCCAAGACUGUACAUUGUUGUCAGAUUCUUUGUAAGACUCUGCUAUGCUGUAAAUCGUUGCUGAUUUUUUAAAAUGUGUGUUGAAUAAAUGACUUAUUUAUAACAACA